rfam:Tannerella sp. CAG:118 genomic scaffold, scf88
GGGGAUGACCGGUUUUGACAGCGGGUAGAAGUGGUGUGUAAGCAUGCAGAGCGUGGAUGGCUUGCUCUUAAAUCUCAGACAUCAAAAAUUUAAAUGGCGAAAAUAAUUACGCUCUUGCUGCUUAAUCGAAGUACAGUAGAUUAACUUAAUCUCCUCAAUAGUUGGGGAGACAAGACAUCACCCGGUUGCUGUUGUUCCGAAGCGUACCGAACAGGUGGUGCAGGGAAAUCGGAAAUAGCCGAGGAUUUGUUCCGGGUCUUCGGUGAAACUUUAAGGGACUAAGGAAUGGAUUGGUGGCUUCGGUCUUGUCUGUUCCCGACAAUUUAGGCGAAGAUAAGCAUGUAGAAAGCUCAUUAGUUCCUCGUUUGGACGAGGGUUCGAAUCCCUCCAUCUCCACAU